CCUGCGCCUCGAUCAUCGAUAUCAGCGUGCCUUGUGGCGCCCUCUACGUUUCCGGUAGUCGCGGAUCUGUUGCAACCGAGAUCAGAGAAUUGGUUUCCUCUCUUGUGUAACGAUGUCUCGCUACCAAAGCAGCAGCCGUUCCUCCAGCCAGGAAUGCAAGGUGUACGUGGGCGGGCUAGGAUCGUCGUUCGACAAGCAUGACAUCGAAGAGUCUUUCCGAUCGUUUGGAGUGAUGAGAAAUGUGUGGGUGGCCAGGAACCCACCUGGCUUUGCCUUUGUGGAGUUCGAAGACCCACUCGAUGCCCAGGAUGCCGUGAAGGGGCAUAGAAAGCGAAUUUGUGGCCGUGAGGUGACUGUGGAGAUGUCCAGGGGCGAACCGAAGAGUCGGCGUUUUGGUGGCCCGGGGGGCGGCAGACCUCCGCCCCGUCGUGCCAGCCGAAACGACAAGUGCUAUGCCUGCGGCGACUAUGGCCACUUUGCCCGAGAGUGCCCCAGUGGGGGCAGCCGAGGGGGUGGCAGUGAUCGACGGUACAGCGGGGGAGGCUACGGGGGGCGGAGCCGGGACUAUCGGCGCUCCAGGGCUUCCUAUAGUCAGUGUCAUGUGACUCUGAGCUAAACAGGUUUCCCGCUUCUCAAAUUACUGCCUGAAUAUCUUCUUCCCCUGGCGAGUUUUCGGCGCCCACAAUUGCACAUGCUCACGCCCGCACACGCCCGAAACCAUCCCCCCUCGCCUUGCGUCGAUAAAGAGAAAGCUAUCGCCGGCCUCGGGGGUGGGGAUUUUUUUAAGGAUGUGAAGAGCCGAAGACGUGAAGCACAGUUAGGAUUCACGCCGCUACGCAUCAGAGAUGUGUUUUCAGACCGACACCGCCGCUUUUCAAAUUUGCCCUCGGCAAAGCCGUCUCCACCGUUUGCCUCAAAGAUAGAGAGCGUCCAUUUAGAGAGAGUCUUGCGUCGCUUCUCUCCAUGAGAGCAAGCCGGCAAUCCCACUUGCCCACUCCUAAAAAAGAGAGAAAUAUGCUCACAUUUCGUCCAAGUGGCUAAGUACGAAGGGGUCUGUUUUCAACCCUUUUCUCAGUUUCUUUUCUAAUGUUUUCUGUGUCCAUUCCAACUAGUAUCAUUCCUAGAGAGAGACACAAACCGAAUAGCCAGCUUCGUGAACCAACAAAUGGAAUUUAGCUUAAUUGGAAAUAGACAGUGGACCCAAAGACAAAUUUCCAUCUUGUAAACUUACUAGUCUUAUGUUUUCUUUGCAUCCAGAGCUGGAAAUAAUGUUAUUAGAAAAAUGUCUUGACCACAGAAACGUCAGUCGUUCCCAAACUUUGGUUCCCUUUUUGUUUCAGUGUGUCUAAAAUCCAAAGUGCUCAGCUGCUGUGUUGCAGACACGCAAAACUCCAACCACAAAAUUGACGUUAACCUGAAGAAAAAUGUUCGAUUCCUUAGUCAUUUGCAGCCAGAUUUAAGUGAAGAGCAGCCAAGAUAAGACUUUAGAAUUUCAAAAUCUUUUCAAAUGCUGCAUCAGGAGAUGUGUCUUUUACAAAGCUAACUAGUAACGUGAAGUGUUGAACACUAAGUUAAAUAGAGUUGUAACAAAAGCCCGAAUGGCUAAGCUAUUUAUUUUAGCCUCGUGCCAACUGUUCAUUGUCUUUUUAGGUCCCGCUCUAGAAGUCGUAGCCGCAGCUACUCGCCGCGCCGACGUGACAGCGGCAGCAAGUCUCGUAGUCGCAGCAGAAGCCGUUCCCGUUCGCAUCAC